AUACGGAGGGUCCGAGCGUUAUCCGGAAUCAUUGGGUUUAAAGGGUCCGUAGGCGGGAAUCUAAGUCAGUGGUGAAAUCUUGCAGCUCAACUGUAAAAUUGCCAUUGAUACUGGAUUUCUUGAAUUAGUGUGAAGUGGUUAGAAUGUGUAGUGUAGCGGUGAAAUGCAUAGAUAUUACACAGAAUACCAAUUGCGAAGGCAGAUCACUAACACUAUAUUGACGCUGAGGGACGAAAGCGUGGGGAGCGAACAGGAUUAGAAACCCUAGUAGUCC
rnacentral:rRNA from 1 species